rnacentral:rRNA from 1 species
GAUGAACGCUGGCGGCGUGCCUAAUACAUGCAAGUCGAGCGAACAGACGAGGAGCUUGCUCCUCUGACGUUAGCGGCGGACGGGUGAGUAACACGUGGAUAACCUACCUAUAAGACUGGGAUAACUUCGGGAAACCGGAGCUAAUACCGGAUAAUAUAUUGAACCGCAUGGUUCAAUAGUGAAAGACGGUUUUGCUGUCACUUAUAGAUGGAUCCGCGCCGCAUUAGCUAGUUGGUAAGGUAACGGCUUACCAAGGCAACGAUGCGUAGCCGACCUGAGAGGGUGACCGGCCACCCAGGACAUGAGCACGGGUCCAGACCCCUCGGGGAGGCAGAAGUAGGGAACCUUCCGCAAUGGGCAAAAGCCUGACGGACCAACGCCGGGUGAGUGAUGAAGGUCUUGGGAUCGUAAAACUCUUUUAUUAGGGAAAAAAAAAUGUGAAAGUAACUAUGCACGUUUUGACGGUACCAAAUAAGAAAGCCACGGCUAACUACGU